AAGAGAAAAGAAAAUACAAGAAAACAGACAGAAGAUCCUAUCUGCGACAAUUAAGAGCACUCUAAGAGGAAAACACAUCCCACCACACAAGGCAAGGUACUUCUAUGGAAGGGUGAGCCCUCACAGAUGGAGCAAUGGGGCGCGCACACCUGAACAAGGGAGGGGAAGGAGUUCUUAUCCCUGAUGCAUGUGACCCCUGCUGCUGUGUCCUUCCCCUAUUGGCUAAGGUUAGACCACACAGCCUAAACUAAUUCCGAUUGGCUAAUUCAAAGAGAGCGACGGGGGCUUCUGACAGCUUUGGAGAUUGUGACAUUGGAAUAAAGGAAAAACGUACAGGACUCAUGAAGCGCUGAAAUGUUCACAAAUAUCAAGCAAAAGUCAAUGAAAUUUAUUUUGAGCUAUUUACAUCAUUUAAUAAUUGAGCAAGGUAUACUCCUAUGAACAAAAUUUGGAGCAUGUUUGUCUCUCUCUGCCUGGCGUCUUCAGAAUUUGGAAACUAGUUAGUCAUGGAAAUUUAUUUUGAGCUAUUUACAGCAUUUAAUAAUUGAGCAAGGUAUACUCCUAUGAACAAAAUUUGGAGCAUGUUUGUCUCUCUCUGUCUGCCUGGCAUCUACAGAAUUUGGAAACUAGUUGUGCUGUACUGCAUGAGAAUGCCUGCAUUUAGUAUGCGAACUGGAAUUGGCAAAGGACGAUGGCUGCUCUCCCGCUAACUUUAAAUAAGUCAUGUCACAAAUUGCAUUCGUUCCCAGAUUUCCUAAACUUUCCAGAGAAAAUGGUCUUCUCCCUGGCUCAGCAAGAAGAUGAACUUUAAACACUGAGAAACUGGUCAUCUCCCUGGCUCAACCAGAAGAUGAACUUUAAACACUACUCUCAAUGACUUGAUGUUCCCAUCACUACUCCUGUCAUAAAGGGAGGGGACUCAGAUAUUGAGAAUUUUAUGAUAGUGUGAACUGUCUGGUAUGUCAUUUAAGUAAGCCCGUUGCUGAAAUAUUUUCCAUGUUAUUAGAAAGAGCUGAAGAGAGGGAUUGAGAUGGCUUCUUUAUUUUUUGUCUUUUGGGAAUUAAAGGAACCUGGUUCAACAAGGGCCUACACCUAAGUCUCUUGUUGUACCAGAGUACAAUUUAGGACUGCUCCUGAGGAAGGAAUUAGCUAGAAAUCUAGAGAGUAAGGGUAACAGAUUUACAUAGAAUAACAGCCUCAGUAUUUUUGGUUCCUCUCCAGUAAAGAUCACAAAGAAUAUUGCUAAAUCGCUAAAACACCUUUGCAAUAACGUAAGGGCUUACAACUAUAUACCAAUGUAGCUCAGUUACUAAACUGGAGUAAACUAAUUUCUCUUGUGUAGAAAAAUUGGUUGGCUGUGGUUUUAUAGCAGAUCUGCAAUUAUUAAUAGUUAUGCCAAUAAUCGUUUAACAGUGCAUAUGUUAAUAUAUAUGGAAAGACAAUGUGUAUAGACAGAUGUGUAAAAUUGAAAAAUAAACAUAUAACAAGAGAGAAACAUCUAUCGAACAGACAAUAUACAUACACAUCAAACACAACAGCAGUUUUAGUGACCAUAAUAUUUAUUUCUCAUUUUUACAUUGCUUACUUUAGUGACAACUGAAAAUGACAGUUGGCAAUGCAGCUAACAGUUUCAAUAAAAGUAUAAAACAAAAGACUGUGUACAAAGCACCUGUCUUUCCGCUUUUGUAAUCUUCCGUUGGAAAAAAUUUACACACCUAAGUAACCAUCUGUUUUCUUCAAGAAAAAAUCAUUCUUAUUUCUCUCUCUCAUCUUGAAAACAGCUGUCAGCCAGGAGGGCAGAGCUGAAAUUUAUUGCCACAUCACAUGAAGCAUAGAACAGACUCCACUACUCCUUGAGAUUCAAAACUUUGCCUCUCACAAAGUUACCUUUUAUUUUCCUCUUGUUUGUCACUCAUCUCCCCUAGUGUGCUCUUUUUAUUUCUUUUACUAUUAAUAAUAAAAUCUGUGGAUGAC
rnacentral:lncRNA from 1 species